rnacentral:rRNA from 1 species
GCUUCUUCCUCUUCGGAGGGAGCGGUAACCCGGCAGACGGCUCAGUAACACGUGGAUAACUUAUCCUUUGGUCCGGGAUAACUCCUGGGAAACUGGGGACAAUACCGGAUAGAGCAUUGAUCGCUGGAAUGCAUGAUGCUCGAAAGCUCCGGCGCCAAAGGCUAGGUCUGCGGCCGAUUAGGUUGUUGUUGAUGUAAUGGAUCAACAAGCCUCCGAUCGGUAUGGGUUGUGAGAGCAAUAGCCCAGAGAUGGGUUCUGAGAAAAGAACCCAGGUCNUACGGGACGCAUCAGGCGCGAAAACUUUACAAUGUGCGCAAGCACGAUAAGGGAACUCUGAGUGCCUCCUAUGGAGGCUGUUCAGGUGUCUAAAAAGCAUCUGAAGGAAGGGCUGGGUAAGACCGGUGCCAGCCGCCGCGGUAACACCGGCAGCCCAAGUGGUGGCCACUUUUACUGGGUCUAAAGCGUCCGUAGCCGGCCUGGUAAGUUCCUUGGGAAAUUUGACCGCUUAACGGUUAAGCUUCCAGAGAAUACUGCCGGGCUUGGGACCGGGAGAGGUCAGAGGUACCUCAAGGGUAGGGGUGAAAUCCGUUAANCCUUGGGGGACCGCCAGUAGCGAAGGCGUCUGACCAGACCGGAUCCGACGGUGAGGGACGAAGGCUAGGGUAGCGAACCGGAUUAGAUACCCGGGUAGUCCUAGCUGUAAACGAUGCGGGCUAGGUGUUGGCAUUACUGCGAGUGAUGCCAGUGCCGAAGGGAAGCCGUUAAG